UGGGGAAUCUUGCACAAUGGGCGAAAGCCUGAUGCAGCAACGCCGCGUGCGGGAAGACAGCCCUAGGGUUGUAAACCGCUUUCAGCAGGGAAGAAACUGACGGUACCUGCAGAAGAAGAUGCGGCCAACUACGUGCCAGCAGCCGCGGUGACACGUAGGCAUCAAGCGUUAUCCGGAUUUAUUGGGCGUAAAGAGCUCGUAGGCGGUUCGGUAAGUCGGGUGUGAAAACUCUGGGCUCAACCCAGAGAGGCCACUCGAUACUGCUGUGACUAGAGUGCGGUAGGGGAGCGGGGAAUUCCUGGUGUAGCGGUGAAAUGCGCAGAUAUCAGGAGGAACACCAGUGGCGAAGGCGCCGCUCUGGGCCGUAACUGACGCUGAGGAGCGAAAGCAUGGGUAGCAAACAGGAUUAGAUACCCUGGUAGUCCACGCCGUAAACGAUGUCUGCUAGUCGUUGGGGGCGUAGCCCUUCAGUGACGGCCGCUAACGCAUUAAGCAGACCGCCUGGGAGUACGGCC
rnacentral:rRNA from 1 species